UGGUAGACGAGUGGCCGGCGCUGUCGC
rnacentral:sRNA from 1 species